rnacentral:piRNA from 1 species
UUGUCCUUGACCCUUGUGGUUUCACCAGGAU